AUUCACUGGGUAAUUUGCAAAAACCUGAAUCUGCCCCAUGAUAAAAACUGGUGGGAACACAAACAACCUCCAGUUCUUGAAAAUGAUCAAAUCUCACUUCUCUGGAAUUUCACCAUUCGAACAGACAGAAAGAUAGAUGCGAAUAGGACGGACAUAAAGGUAUUUAAAAAAUUUAGGCAAAAAUCUUU